AGAAAUAAGAAAUGGUGAGGGAGGUUGAAGAGGAGCCAACAGAUGAACAUGGAUCUGCAAUAAUCAGAAACUACUUUGGUGGUGGAUGGAUGUUUGCAUCGGAUCCGAGGGUGCAAUGGUGGUCUGUCCAUCCUCUCCCCUACUCUCCUUUGAUUUUUUAUGUGUGAAUCUGGCUUUGAUCUCUUUUGGAUGUGUGGAAUAUGCUUUGCUCUAUAUUGCCUAGGUCCUAAGCAUUUCCAUGAGGUGUUUAGUGCAUAUAUGAAGAAUCAGGGGUACAAAUAUGGGGACUUUCCAACAAUUAUGAAGAAGUGUGAUCUUAAGCACCGACCGGGCGAUGAAAUCUGUAGAUAUUUCUGCAAGUUUUGCUUCAGCGAUGUUUGCCUCUUUAGCCCUUGCUUGAUUGGGCUGCUUAACUGGGAAAUCGUCGGCUGCAUCUUACUUUCAGGUUUGACUCUUUGGCCCUUGCUUGAUUCAGCUGCUCCUAGAAAAUGUUUCCGCAAGUUCUGUUUCGUUGAAGUUUGCCUCAAUGGGAAUGGAUCUACUUGUCGGGAUUAAUAAGCUUUGCGGAUGUAUUAGGUUGUGACUUGGUCUGGUCCCCGAUGUACUGAUUUAGCAAAUAGCUUGAAUCGGGGCAGUCAUAAUACAGAUUGCUGCUCUUUUCCUUGACGGCCAAAUUAGACUUAUCAUUUGCUGCUAUUGUUACAAAUCUUAUAGCUACAUGCAGGUAUGAGAACCAGGAUCAUUGAAUGCUCUUUAAGCCACUUAAAAUAAAUUUUUGUCCUCAUCCUCAUCCAAAAGAAAAUCUGAGCCUGAUAGAAAGGCAUUGACCAACAUAAACUGGUUUAAGAUGCUCGGCCUAAAAUGGAUCUAUCAUGCAAACAAUAAUAAUCUAUUUUCGUUUUUAUGAGCGACAUAGAGCAUGGCCCAUGUGCCUUCAACUUCGCACCCCCUUGUGAUGUUUGACUUGCUGCUCCUUUCCUCCAUGAAUCUAUGCAUGCUAAUUAUCGUUUAUCAACAUUUGUUAUUUUUAAUAUUCUGUAUCUUCCUUGCAUACAUUGUUGCACCAUGGAUUAUAUGAUAAUAGAUAUAAUUGUUCAAGAUUAUUUGUGGCAACUCUGCAGUGAGAUAUACUGUAUGAUUUAACUUUUAGUUGGACAAGAAGAGAUAUGAGGCAUGUCUAUGGGUGAAUUCCGAAGUACAUGUAUCUGGUUCUGGUGAGUCUGAUGGUAUGGAUGUAUAAGGAAGGCCUUUUUCCUACAGGUCAUUGCUGUUAUGCUUUUCCACUCUCAUGGACUAUGGUCACUUAUCACACAUUGAAUCGUAUGAUUAGCUCACAGAGAACUUUCUUUAGUUAGUCAUGUGUUUCGAGCUAAAGCUGCGACUUUAUUUAUCGGUUUAGGUGCCUUUGUAAUCUGUCCAUAUAUUUUUUCUUACAAUUUCAUAUAAAUGAACAUCUAUUUUCUAAUUUCA